UCCCUCUCCUCCCCUCUCUCUUCCCUCCUCCCUCCCUUUCCCCUCUGUGUGUGCCCACAUCUCUAAUUUACUUGACUCUACUUAUAUCUUUUGGACCCAAAAUGUAGUUUUCUCCUGAGUCAUUCUAUAGCAUCAGUGAUUAUUUCAGAAUAUGGUUUUUAAAAGCCAGUUUGGAGAUAUAGGGAAGACAUACAAACACCCAGGUACUGGUGUUCAGCCUCUUCACCCAGGACCGUAAUACAAGGCCAUUAUGACUCAAGCAGAGGAAGGAGGGAGGGUCCAACUAAAGGCAGUGUGAGGAAUCAUGGUUGAAGCAGCAUGAGAGAGCACAGCACAGUCCUGAAACUCAGGUCAGGUAGCGGAUAUGUCUGGGUUUCCUGGUUGAGAAGGGAGACGUAGUAAAAUGGAAACUCAGUUUCUGAACCUGACAAGAUUAUAGAAGCUUCCUGAACUCCUGUGGCUUGUGGACACUUCGUUUUCAGAACCCGGAGAAAAUGGAAUGUAUCUCAUGCUUCCUUGCUCUGACCAUCGCUAUCUUCUUCCUUCUCUUUUAUGAGCUAGUGUAGCUACUCUAGCCUAUGCGGAUCACCCAGGACAUUCUCUUCAUCUUAAAGGCAGCUGAUUAAACCAUGAAUUGCAUCCUCAA